AUGCUUGCUUCGGCAGCACAUAUACUAAAUUUGCAACGAUACAGAGAAGAUUAGCGUGGCCCCUGUGCAAGGAUGACACACAAAUUCAUGAAGCAUUCCAUUAAAAA
ensembl:snRNA U6 U6 spliceosomal RNA